AACGAACGCUGGCGGCAUGCCUAACACAUGCAAGUCGAACGAGACCUUCGGGUCUAGUGGCGCACGGGUGCGUAACGCGUGGGAACCUGCCCUUAGGUUCGGAAUAACUCCCCGAAAGGGGUGCUAAUACCGGUUAAUGUCUUCGGACCAAAGAUUUAUCGCCUUUGCAUGGGCCCGCGUCGGAUUAGCUAGUUGGUAGGGUAAAAGCAUACCAGGGAGACGAUGCAUAGCUGGUCUGAGAGGAGGACCAGCCACACUGGCAAUGAGACACGGACCAGACUCGGACGGAAAGCAGCAGAAGGGAAUAAUGGGCGACGAGCGAAAGGCUAAGACAGCAAGGCGGAGGAAGUGGUGAAGGCCUUAGGGUUGUAAAGCUCUUUUAGCCGGGAUGAUAAUGACAGUACCGGGUGAAUAAGCGCCGGCUAACUCCGUG
rnacentral:rRNA from 1 species